UACGUAGGGCGCAAGCGUUGUCCGGAAUUAUUGGGCGUAAAGAGCUCGUAGGCGGCUUGUCACGUCGAUUGUGAAAGCCCGAGGCUUAACCUCGGGUCUGCAGUCGAUACGGGCUAGCUAGAGUGUGGUAGGGGAGUCUGGAAUUCCUGGUGUAGCGGUGAAAUGCGCAGAUAUCAGGAGGAACACCGGUGGCGAAGGCGGGACUCUGGGCCGAUACUGACGCUGAGGAGCGAAAGCGUGGGGAGCGAACAGG
rnacentral:rRNA from 1 species